rnacentral:misc_RNA from 1 species
UUUUAAAAAAAAAAAAUCAUUUCCUUCCUAUUCUGAGCAGUCAGUCCAUCUUUUUUUUAUAUCUCUUCCCAUCUACAGGCUAGCUAGAUCUUCGUUUUGAUUAACAACAGAAAAAUAAACCUGCCCAUCAUCAUUUUAUAUUUCUGCUGUUGCUUGCACUUGUACCACCCAAAUACCAGAAGAAAUGCAUUCUAUGAGAGUGUCUUCCAAUAAUCAUUCAAGAACUUGUUCUAUUAUUCCUUUUAAGCAAAAUAACCAGCAACUUCUGCCUUCAGCUAACUGCCUCAGCAGUUGAACUUCUUCAACUAUGUGCUCCAAGACACUUCAUGACCACAUUAACAAAACCCUCUCUCCCCCAAAUAUUUAAUUUCUGAUCUUUGCAUUUUCUUCACAUCCAAAACGAACUAUUCACUCUAAAUGCUA